CGUAACAAGGUUUCCGUAGGUGAACCUGCGGAAGGAUCAUUCACAAGAUUAUAUUUUAUAUUACUUUGUGGAACAUUUGGUUGAAUUUACAUGUUUUAUUACAAAAAAUUAAUUAUAAUUAAAAAAAUAAUUUUAAGAAAACCUCCAACAACGGAUCUCUUGGUUCCCAGAUCGAUGAAGAGCGCAGCGAAUUGCGAAAUGUGAUGUGUAUUGCAGUGAAUCAUCAAUUCUUGAACGCACAUGGCACCCCUUUUAGGGGUAUGCUUGUAUGAGGGUGUUUAAUAUGAAAUUGCUUUGGCUUUUUUUAAAUAAAUGGUUUUUCAAAUUGUUACUAAUAGACGAAAGAAUCAGUGCAACAAGCUGUGUUGAAUCUUUCAUUAAAUCUUUUAGUUAACUACUUUAACUAUUUGCACCUCAUAUCAAGCAAGACUACCCGCUGAACUUAAGCAUAUCA
rnacentral:misc_RNA from 1 species